ACCUCUCUGGGAAAGUCUUUGCCUGUAGCCUCUCAUUACGGGGCCCUGGGCUUUGGACACAUCUCUCUGUGGCCUGGACUGCUUGGUUAACAUUUUCUGUGUCGCUGUCUCCCCCAUGUGACAGAGCUGGUGUUCUUUCUUCAGUUCAUUUUUCUGUCCUAAAGGGACCCUUUUGACUCCAGAAUUGGAGGUAUGCAAAGAAGCAAACUGUUGCUCAGUGUUACAGUCACAAGGCCAAGAGGUGUUUAGUUAACUUUUAUAAGUGGAUUUAGGUUUAUGCCAGAGUAAGAGGCAGAGUCGGGAACAGCUUUUCCUCAUAAAGAAGGAAAACAAAAAAAGAGGCAACAUUGAUUGGAGAAAGUCUCCUGGUAACAGAAAGAAUUUUGAUAUCUGAGCUGCUGGAUGCAUGCGCUUUCUUUCUCUCUCUGAUUCCCCCCCCCACCCACCUCACUGAAGUAGGAUAAGGGCAGAGAUAACUGAGAGGAGGUGGAAUUCACUGGGGAAAUUACCUCGGAAGCAGGCUAUGGAAGAGGGCACCACAGAAACAGGUCCCCCUGUAACCAUAGUGACGGCUGAAGAAGGAAGGGCACAGUG
rnacentral:lncRNA from 1 species